AUCCGGCUGAUGAGUCCCAAAUGAGACGAAAUGUGCAUCGUGGAA
rfam:Schistosoma haematobium scaffold1420_4, whole genome shotgun sequence.